AGUGGAUGGGGAGCAACCUAGUUGUGCGUGUGUAAAGGUAGUGCCAAGAAAAGCGAUGAUCAUGUUGAAAAUCAAUUCCCGGUACCCGAAACCGACACAGGUGUCAAGUAGAGAAUACUAAGGGGCGCGAGGUAACUCUCUCCAAGGAACUCGGCAAAAUGACCCCGUAACUUAGGGAGAAGGGGUGCCACCGAGAGGUGGUCGCAGUGAAGAGGCCCAGGCGACUGUUUAGCAAAAACAUAGGUCUCUGCAAACUCGAAAGAGGAGGUAUAGGGGCUGACGCCUGCCCAGUGCCGGAAGGUUAAAGAAGUUGGUCAGUUUUAGGAUGAAGCUAGCGACUGAAGCCCCGGUGAACGGCGGCCGUAACUAUAACGGUCCUAAGGUAGCGAAAUUCCUUGUCGGGUAAGUUCCGACCCGCACGAAAGGCGUAACGAUCUGGGCGCUGUCUCGGAGAGAGGCUCGGCGAAAUAGGAUUGUCUGUGAAGAUACGGACUACCUGCAUUUGGACAGAAAGACCCUAUGAAGCUUUACUAUAGCUUGGAAUUGUGUUCGGGCUUCCUGUGCGCAGGAUAGGUGGGAGGCGUAGAAGGUAUUCUUGUGGGGAUACUGGAGCCAACGGUGAGAUACCACUCUCAGGAGGCUAGAAUUCUAACUUAAUUAAGGACAGUUUCAGGUGGGUAGUUUGACUGGGGCGGUCGCCUCCAAAAAGGUAACGGAGGCGUACAAAGGUUCCCUCAGACUGGUUGGAAAUCAGUCGAAGAGUGCAAAGGCAGAAGGGAGCUUGACUGCGAGAAGUACAGUUCGAGCAGGGUGGAAACACGGUCUUAGUGAUCCGACGGUGCUGUGUGGAAGGGCCGUCGCUCAACGGAUAAAAGUUACUCUAAGGAUAACAGGCUGAUCUCCCCCAAGAGUUCACAUCGACGGGGAGGUUUGGCACCUCGAUGUCGGCUCAUCGCAACCUGGGGCGGAAGUACGUCCCAAGGGUUGGGCUGUUCGCCCAUUAAAGCGGUACGUGAGCUGGGUUCAGAACGUCGUGAGACAGUUCGGUCCAUAUCCGAUGUAGGCGUGAGAAUAUUGAGAGGAGCCUUCCUUAGUACGAGAGGACCGGGAAGGACGCACCGCUGGUGUACCUGUUAUGAUGCCAAUUGUAAACGCAGGGUAGCCAAGUGCGGAGAGGAUAACCGCUGAAAGCAUCUAAGUGGGAAGCCCACCUCAAGAUGAGUAUUCUGGUGUAAGGUCACGGGAAGACGACCCGUAAAUAGGCACGAGGUGGAAGUGCAGAGAUGUAUGAAGCCGAAGUGUACUAAUAGACCGUCGGCUUGACCA
rnacentral:rRNA from 1 species